rnacentral:rRNA from 1 species
GAUGAACGCUGGCGGCGUGCCUAAUACAUGCAAAUCGAGCGAACAGACGAGGAGCUUGCUCCUCUGACGUUAGCGGCGGACGGGUGAGUAACACGUGGAUAACCUACCUAUAAGACUGGGAUAACUUCGGGAAACCGGAGCUAAUACCGGAUAAUAUAUUGAACCGCAUGGUUCAAUAGUGAAAGACGGUUUUGCUGUCACUUAUAGAUGGAUCCGCGCCGCAUUAGCUAGUUGGUAAGGUAACGGCUUACCAAGGCAACGAUGCGUAGCCGACCUGAGAGGGUGAUCGGCCACACUGGAACUGAGACACGGUCCAGACUCCUACGGGAGGCAGCAGUAGGGAAUCUUCCGCAAUGGGCGAAAGCCUGACGGAGCAACGCCGCGUGAGUGGUGAAGGUCUUCGGAUCGUAAAACUCUGUUAUUAGGGAAGAACAAAUGUGUAAGUAACUAUGCACGUCUUGACGGUACCUAAUCAGAAAGCCACGGCUAACUACGUG